GUGAAUCAUAUGAACAUGAUGAAACUAGCAUGACAGAAAUUCCCGUGUGUCCUCGGGAGUGUUUUUCCUCCUAUAAGACUUUGUUCAGGCUUGUCCCUUGCUACAAAAGGGAUUGGGCCACUUGCUGCACCGUUGCUACUACUUGUUACUUGUUACUUUUUGCUUGCUACGUUUCACCUCGCUACACCAUCACUUGUUACCGCUACUUGCAGUUAUUACCUUGCUGAAAACCGUUUAUCAGAGGCUUCUGCUCCUCGUUGGGUUCGACACUCUUACUUAUCGAACGGACUACGAUUGAUCCCCUAUACUUGUGGGUCAUCAAUCACCAACCAAGCUGGAGUGGCCUGCUCAGGGGCCAGGGUGACAGUCGCCAGAUGCGGCUGAGCUACCUCCUCCUCAAUCUCGGCGUCAACGAAGUAGAAGCUCCCCCUCUCAGUACCGUACCCAAGGUAGGCGAGGGUCGUGGGGCACCGAGGAGGGGCCUCGCACUCCG
rnacentral:lncRNA from 1 species